rnacentral:rRNA from 1 species
GACGAACGCUGGCGGCGUGCCUAAUACAUGCAAGUAGGACGCAGUUGCGAACGGGUGAGUAACGCGUAGGUAACUACCUAUUAGAGGGGGAUAACUAUUGGAAACGAUAGCUAAUACCGCAUACUAGUAGAUGGACCUGCGUUGUAUUAGCUAGUAGGUAGGGUAAUGGCCUACCUAGGCAACGAUACAUAGCCGAACUGGGAGGAUGAGCGGCCACACUGGGAUGGAGACACGGCCCAGAGUCCGACGGGAGGCAGCAGUAGGGAGUCUUGGGGAAUGGGGGGAACCCUGACCGAGAAACGCCGAGUGAGGGAAGAGGGUUUUCGGGUCGUAAAGCUCUGUUGUUUAGGAAGCGGUACUUAACCAGAAAGGGACGGCUAACUACGUGCCAGCAGCCGCGGUAAUAC